AGUGCAAGAAACAUGCUGGUGGACAAUUGUCAGAGAAGAGUUUUCCCUAAACGUGAACACCUAGUGGUUGACAUAUUCGCCAGCAGGAUGGCUAACUUAGUGAGGAGGGCUUUAAACUAGGUUCACCGGGGGAAGGAGACCAAAGCCCUGAGACAGAAAUAACAGCAAAGUCAGCAGAAUCAAUGAGGAAGACAGGAAUACAAGAAUGGGGGAUACUCAAACAGCAGAAAGAUCCCUACACAUGAUCAGUCAGGAAAGCUCUACCAGGCAAAGAAAUGGUCCAUGUGGGAUGAUAUAGCUUAUUCCACAACCAGCAAAACAUGGAAUCAACUACCUUCUGGGUUCCCAGCAGUUGCUGUCCUACUCCACUCACCUGGGGGAGUGCAAUGAGGGUCGA